rnacentral:rRNA from 2 species
CAUCUUUUUUGAGCCUUUUUAGAUAGAAGAAUUUCCCCUUUGGGGGACAAAAGUGACAAGUGGGGGCAAGGUUUUUUGUUCAGGUUCUUUUGUGAGAAUUUUGGGGUUAAGUCCCCCCAACGAAGCGCAAACCUUUUUUUUUAGUUGCCCUCAUUUUAGUUGGGCAAUUUAAAGGAGACUGCCGGUGACAAACCGGGAGGAAGGUGGGGAAGACGUCAAAUCAUCAUGCCCCUUAUGAUCUGGGCUACACCACGUGCUACAAUGGAAGGUACAAAGGGUUGCAAAACCGCGAGGUCAAGCAAAUCUCAUAAAACCAUUCUCAGUUCGGAUUGUAGUCUGCAACUCGCCUACAUGAAGCUGGAAUCGCUAGUAAUCGUAGAUCAGCAUGCUCCGGUGAAUACGUUCCCGGGUCUUGUACACACCGCCCGUCACACCACGAGAGUUUGUAACACCCGAAGUCGGUGGAGUAACCUUUUAGAGCCAGCCGCUUAAAG